CAGUAGCCGCGGGAAUACGUAGGUGGCAAGCGUUGUCCGGAAUUAUUGGGUGUAAAGAGCGCGUAGGCGGGUCUUUAAGUGAGGGGUGAAAGGUUCGGGCUCAACCCGGACACUGCCUUUCAUACUGGGGACCUUGAGUGUGGGAGAGGCGAGUGGAAUUCUUGGUGUAGCGGUGAAAUGCGUAGAUAUCAAGAGGAACACCCAUGGCGAAGGCAGCUCGCUGGCCUAUAACUGACGCUGAGGCGCGAAAGCUGGGGGAGCAAACAGGAUUAGAUACCCCAGUAGUCCCUGUCUCUUAUAC
rnacentral:rRNA from 1 species